rnacentral:rRNA from 1 species
GAUGAUCGCUAGCUACAGGCUUAACACAUGCAAGUCGAGGGGAAACGAUAUUGGAAGCUUGCUUCCGAUAGGCGUCGACCGGCGCACGGGUGAGUAACGCGUAUCCAACCUGCCCAUCACUUGGGGAUAACCUUGCGAAAGUAAGACUAAUACCCAAUGAUAUCUCUAGAAGACAUCUGAAAGAGAUUAAAGAUUUAUCGGUGAUGGAUGGGGAUGCGUCUGAUUAGCUUGUUGGCGGGGUAACGGCCCACCAAGGCGACGAUCAGUAGGGGUUCUGAGAGGAAGGUCCCCCACAUUGGAACUGAGACACGGUCCAAACUCCUACGGGAGGCAGCAGUGAGGAAUAUUGGUCAAAUGGGCGAGAGCCUGAACCAGCCAAGUAGCGUGCAGGAUGACGGCCCUAAUGGGGUUGUAAACUGCUUUUAUAAGGGAAUAAAGUGAGUCUCGUGAGACUUUUUGCAUGUACCUUAUGAAUAAGGAACCGGCUAAAUUUCCGUGCCAGCAGCCGACGG